GGAGCUUGCUCCUGGAUUCAGCGGCGGACGGGUGAGUAAUGCCUAGGAAUCUGCCUGGUAGUGGGGGAUAACGUUCCGAAAGGAACGCUAAUACCGCAUACGUCCUACGGGRGAAAGCAGGGGACCUUCGGGCCUUGCGCUAUCAGAUGAGCCUAGGUCGGAUUAGCUAGUUGGUGAGGUAAUGGCUCACCAAGGCGACGAUCCGUAACUGGUCUGAGAGGAUGAUCAGUCACACUGGAACUGAGACACGGUCCAGACUCCUACGGGAGGCAGCAGUGGGGAAUAUUGGACAAUGGGCGAAAGCCUGAUCCAGCCAUGCCGCGUGUGUGAAGAAGGUCUUCGGAUUGUAAAGCACUUUAAGUUGGGAGGAAGGGCUGUAGGCUAAUAUCCUGCGGUUUUGACGUUACCAACAGAAUAAGCACCGGCUAACUUCGUGCCAGCAGCCGCGGUAAUACGAAGGGUGCAAGCGUUAAUCGGAAUUACUGGGCGUAAAGCGCGCGUAGGUGGUUCGUUAAGUUGGAUGUGAAAGCCCCGGGCUCAACCUGGGAACUGCAUCCAAAACUGGCGAGCUAGAGUACGGUAGAGGGUAGUGGAAUUUCCUGUGUAGCGGUGAAAUGCGUAGAUAUAGGAAGGAACACCAGUGGCGAAGGCGACUACCUGGACUGAUACUGACACUGAGGUGCGAAAGCGUGAGGAGCAAACAGGAUUAGAUACCCUGGUAGUCCACGCCGUAAACGAUGUCAACUAGCCGUUGGAAUCCUUGAGAUUUUAGUGGCGCAGCUAACGCAUUAAGUUGACCGCCUGGGGAGUACGGCCSCAAGGUUAAAACUCMAAUGAAUUGACGGGGGCCCSCMCAAGCGG
rnacentral:rRNA from 1 species